GCCUGCCUAGCUCAAUCGGAUAGAGCGUCAGACUUUUAAGGCAUUGGCUUGACAUCUGAAGGCUGCGGGUUCGACCCCCGCGGUGGGCU